GCACUGCUGAGGAGUCCUAUAGUAGGACGAAAUGGCCGUCCAGUGC
rfam:Schistosoma rodhaini strain Burundi genome assembly, scaffold: SROB_scaffold0006504